ensembl:lncRNA
AUGGCGAGGAGGGCUCCCCGCAAGAGGCGCCCAGGGGCAUCGCCAGGCCCCUCGCAGAGCGGGGCCGCCUGCGAGGCCGCAGGGGAGGCAGCGGGGCCGAGCCACGGGUGCCUCCACGUGCAGGUUGGGCUGCAGGAGGUGAGGCACUCUCUGGAGUUAGUUCCUGGCUCUGCCAGCCAAGAGCCUGCAAGGCAGCAUGGCACAGCCACGGAAGCUGCAGGGACGGUCGUCAGCACUGCUCACCGUCUGGCAAGGGCCCUCGUGCUGCAGAGCCUCCUCAAGACUUGCACCUCUGCUGCGCAAAAGAUGACCCUGCACAGGAAGGAGUUCUUGAAAAUCUUCAUCGUGGUCUCAGUGACCCUUGCAGCAGCUGGCGCGCUUUGCUGCGGGACCUCGCGGCUGGCCUGGAAGACGGGGGCAAGGAAAGCGGCCCAGAAGCUGCUGGAAGAAAUGGAGUCUGUGCGGAACUCCCUGGAUUCCAUGGAGGUCCAAGGCAAGAGGAUACGGCUCCUGCUGGAGCAGGUGGCUUCGCUGAGGGCAGAGCUCAGCAGCGUGACGAAGGUGGUUCAGGAGGUGAAACGGGCAGCCUCUGAGACGGCUUCGGAAGACGACGUUCAGCCGUCUGACCGGGCGCCGAAAAGCUCAGCUGAGCGCCUCCACCCGACGAGGACAGCGACGAGAGACGUGGGGCUGGCCAGCGGCAUCAAUAACACUGUGUAAGCACCGCGUUCUCCUAGCCUGUGGCCUCUUGCACCCUUACGCUCCUUUCUCCAUUAAAGGUGCCACCAACGACCGUGUCCGAGACCUGCGAAUGCCAAGCGAGUUGGUCCUGCAGGCUUUUUUUUUUCGCUUCUUCUGUGCCACAAAUCCUUCUGAUAACUAUCUCGCGGGUUUCAGCCCUUCCUGUGAGGUUAGCAGAUGCCCCCCACAGCCCGGUUGCGUUGCUCAAGCCCGCGGUGUCGAUAAGGAUCCUGGAACCAAAGGUCUAAUGCAGGGCACCCUUCUCGCGCCCUGAGGCCUCCCGGGGACGCUUCCUGCAAUCUGCUGUCUUCUCGAGGCGUCACAGAGCUCCCCAGUGUACUCCAGGACGCCGCAGAGGCCUCCCAGGGGCCCACAUUUUGUUCUAAAACCAGUUAGAGCCAUUGGAACGCUCUCCAGGGACCUCGUGGGUGCCCUGGAGUCCUUCCAGGCAGCACUACAGCCCUUCCACCAAUCUAUAAUCCACUCUAGAGUCCUCACGUGUCUACAAGGAGCACCCGGUGCACUCGAGCUCUCCCUGAAACCCUCCCAGUGACCUCCAGUGUCCUCUAGGAUGCCGCAGAGGCCUCCCAGUGCUGCCUUCAAGCAUCCUGGGGCCCUGCAGUGCUCCCUAGGACCUUCUGGAGGCCUCGAAGGGCCCUGCAGUGUACUCUAGCACACCAUGAAGACCUUGCUGGACUCUCCAGUGCUCUCUGCAGUCCCCUGCAGGCAUCCCAGUCCCCCCCCCGCUGUUCUCCAGUGCCCCGUACGUGCCUCCCAAUGCUCCCGGUGCAGUCUAGCAUCCGAUACAGGUCUCCCAGUGUGCCCUAGAAUCCUCCCGGGGCACUUGAGAGCACUCUGGGUUGCCCUAGGAGCCUCCUCUUGCACCCUAGAGGCCUCCCAAGGACACUUCCUAUAAUCUGCUGGCCUCUUUGCGGCCUCACAGGGCUUUCUAGCGUGCUCCAGGGCACCCUAGGGGCCA